UAACUUGUGUAGCCAUUGGAAACCUCCAGGAAAAAGGAGGGCGGCCCUACCCCUACAAGAGUGUGGUGGGCGAGCCGUUAGAAGUACACAUUCAAACAGCCGCCGCAACGAGACUUAUUGUGGUCGUAUUGCACAUCGCCUUAUCGUAGCCCAAGCGCAGUGGAGGACACCGGGCGCUUCCCUUGUUGUGGUGCACUUAUAGUGUGAGUCAGAGGCGAAAGGGUCCGCCGCCCCGUGGUCUCUACGAAAAGGGCGCCCCCGUCGAGGAAUCGAUCGGCCUAUGGGCAUUGGAGAUAGGGCAGCGCUCGACCGGGUGAGGUGGUGUGUGACCUUCGCCCCUCUGCUGACCUACGGAGGAGAACGUGAUACCUACCCAGAAAGUUGUAAACAGCAAAGCCGGUGAGAAAUACUCGAAGUCUCAGUAACAGUGUCUUUGUGUCCUGGCGGCCACCUGUGGAGAGAGAGCAGAACGAAAGUGAACCAUUGAAGAGCAGACUGUGAACGUGAUACCUACCUGAAAAGCUGUAAACAGCAGAGCCGCGGCCACCUGUGGAGAGAGAGCAGAACGAAAGUGAAACAUUGAAGAGCAGACUGUGAACGUGAUACCUACCCAGAAAGUUGUAAACAGCAAAGCCGGUGAGAAAUACUCGAAGUCUCAGUAACAGUGUCUUUGUGUCCUGGCGGCCACCUGUGGAGAGAGAGCAGAACGAAAGUGAACCAUUGAAGAGCAGACUGUGAACGUGAUACCUACCUGAAAAGCUGUAAACAGCAGAGCCGCGGCCACCUGUGGAGAGAGAGCAGAACGAAAGUGAAACAUUGAAGAGCAGACUGUGAACGUGAUACCUACCCAGAAAGCUGUAAACAGCAGAGCCGUGGCCUCCUGUGGAGAGAACGGAAAACGAGAAGGAACAUGAGGAAAAUGGACUGUGUGAAGAUACAGUGGUGGUGGAGGAGAGCCUAGAGUGGCCAUUGUUUUAAGUCCCCCGUUCCCCUUCCUUAUUUAAUGCUUUUAAGUAAUUUAAUAAAGGAUAUUUUAAUUUUAUGCUUACCUUGUGUGUCUGGUCAUUGGGGUGGCUUUGGGAAUCUCCUCGAGGUGGAGAAAGGGGCGUGACCUUAUUUACACCUGGGUCCACCCCUACCUGUGACAGAUUUGGCGUAGUCGGCAGUCCACCUCGGGUUGAGACCAAAGUCCCCCAAUGGCCUACCACAUUUCUUUUAAAGAACAGCUCCCAUCAACACUCCAUCAGUCCCCAAACAACGCGUUCUCGGGACGAGAACGGAUUGGCGGGGGAGGAUGUCACAAGGUGACGAUCUUUUGGGCGGAACCAAAAGUCGGGAAACUUUGGUUCCGCCCGGAUGUUUCCGUCCAGACCGAAGAACGGAAACACCGGACAUCCGGCAGAUUUGCGGAGGCUGUAAUCAGCCGAUUGGGCACAGCUGUGCCUAGUUAAAAGAGAUCGCCAGGCAAUUGGAUAACUGAAGCACAGAAAGGAGUAUUUAAAGCACAGUUAAAUGACAGUUCAGCAGUUUGGGGCACGAGAGGGAGAUUGACACGGGGAGAGCUCCUCUGCUUAGGGCAGGAGAGGUAAAUACGUACCUUUUGAAGAGCCCGCAGGCUCUGUUGAUCCGGGCUGCGCUAGAAGCGCGCGGAAAGAAGACAGGAGCUGCCUGGGGUGAAAGAAAGGCGAUACGUGAGUGGAGAAAAGGAGCACCCCGAAGAGAGCAUUGUGCUGUCAAGCCUGUGCUUAGUGUGUGCUGGGAAACGGAGCUGUGCUCAUUUUUGGACGUGGUGGCUGUCUGUGUUUUUCUCUCUCUCUCUCGUUUCAGUCUGUAUUGUGGACCUGCUGGAGUCAAUAGAAAAGCCCUAUGGGUAAGAAGGAACUUUGUUCUAACCAACACUGAAGGAGUAAAGCAGGAAGAGAUAUUGACCGUUUGGUACAACGUAAAUAAAGGCUAUCCGCCGUGAGUAUACCCUUUCUGUGUGGAAUAACUGGCAAAAAAUUAACUUGUGUAGCCAUUGGAAACCUCCAGGAAAAAGGAGGGCGGCCCUACCCCUACAAGAGUGUGGUGGGCGAGCCGUUAGAAGUACACAUUCAAACAGCCGCCGCAACGAGACUUAUUGUGGUCGUAUUGCACAUCGCCUUAUCGUAGCCCAAGCGCAGUGGAGGACACCGGGCGCUUCCCUUGUUGUGGUGCACUUAUAGUGUGAGUCAGAGGCGAAAGGGUCCGCCGCCCCGUGGUCUCUACGAAAAGGGCGCCCCCGUCGAGGAAUCGAUCGGCCUAUGGGCAUUGGAGAUAGGGCAGCGCUCGACCGGGUGAGGUGGUGUGUGACCUUCGCCCCUCUGCUGACCUACGGAGGAGAACGUGAUACCUACCCAGAAAGUUGUAAACAGCAAAGCCGGUGAGAAAUACUCGAAGUCUCAGUAACAGUGUCUUUGUGUCCUGGCGGCCACCUGUGGAGAGAGAGCAGAACGAAAGUGAACCAUUGAAGAGCAGACUGUGAACGUGAUACCUACCUGAAAAGCUGUAAACAGCAGAGCCGCGGCCACCUGUGGAGAGAGAGCAGAACGAAAGUGAAACAUUGAAGAGCAGACUGUGAACGUGAUACCUACCCAGAAAGUUGUAAACAGCAAAGCCGGUGAGAAAUACUCGAAGUCUCAGUAACAGUGUCUUUGUGUCCUGGCGGCCACCUGUGGAGAGAGAGCAGAACGAAAGUGAACCAUUGAAGAGCAGACUGUGAACGUGAUACCUACCUGAAAAGCUGUAAACAGCAGAGCCGCGGCCACCUGUGGAGAGAGAGCAGAACGAAAGUGAAACAUUGAAGAGCAGACUGUGAACGUGAUACCUACCCAGAAAGCUGUAAACAGCAGAGCCGUGGCCUCCUGUGGAGAGAACGGAAAACGAGAAGGAACAUGAGGAAAAUGGACUGUGUGAAGAUACAGUGGUGGUGGAGGAGAGCCUAGAGUGGCCAUUGUUUUAAGUCCCCCGUUCCCCUUCCUUAUUUAAUGCUUUUAAGUAAUUUAAUAAAGGAUAUUUUAAUUUUA